rnacentral:lncRNA from 1 species
GCUUGUUUGCAGGAUCCGGAUCGCAGCGAGGCGGCAAGAGGGCCAGUACGGAAACGGUUUCCAACGCCGGUGAUUCUUCCAACGCCCUUUCUGAUGAUGUCACCAAGUACAUCCAUUCUCUGAUGACGCAGUUGCCAGUGGCCACAAUCCCGGAGACCGCUUGAUUGUCACCGAACACAUGCAAGCCCCCCGGAUUGCUGGGAUUUACGAACAGGCACUUGGCCGAUUGGAUUCCUUGGUCGAAAAGGAGACUGAUUGGAUGACCCUGGAAAAGACUAAUAUUGAUGAUAUCGAUGAAGCGUGCUACAUUCGAGCUCUUCAGACUGUGGCCAUGGAGCGUCAUCG